rnacentral:rRNA from 1 species
UACGGAGGGUGCAAGCGUUGUUCGGAUUUACUGGGCGUAAAGAGCGCGCAGGCGGCUUGGCAAGUCGGGUGUGAAAUCCCGGGGCUCAACCCCGGGACUGCAUUCGAUACUGUCAGGCUAGAGGUAGGUAGGGGAGAUCGGAAUUCCUGGUGUAGCGGUGAAAUGCGCAGAUAUCAGGAGGAACACCGGUGGCGAAGGCGGGUCUCUGGGCAGUAACUGACGCUGAGGAGCGAAAGCGUGGGGAGCGAACAGG